rnacentral:lncRNA from 13 species
GAUUUUGGUCCCAGAUAACUUCCAAAGGAUGGAGAAGGAGAUGAAAAGCAGAGAGAUAGAGCUUGAAGGGCUGCUGCAGUUUGCCGGAGGUUCACUCCAGACCCUAUUCACCUGGGUAUAUCCUGCCCCUGGAGCUGUCACUGACGGAGGCUGCAGAACAGCAAAGAUGGCUGCCUGA